rnacentral:rRNA from 1 species
UCUGAAUAUGGGGGGACCAUCCUCCAAGGCUAAAUACUCCUGACUGACCGAUAGUGAACCAGUACCGUGAGGGAAAGGCGAAAAGAACCCCGGCGAGGGGAGUGAAAAAGAACCUGAAACCGUGUACGUACAAGCAGUGGGAGCACCUUCGGGUGUGACUGCGUACCUUUUGUAUAAUGGGUCAGCGACUUAUAUUCUGUAGCAAGGUUAACCGUAUAGGGGAGCCGCAGGGAAACCGAGUCUUAACUGGGCGUUA